CCUAUGUCUUAAAACGGAUAUCUAUGUGAAGUUAUAAGACCAUAUGUAGAGGCUAACACCUGUAUAAUGCCGAAAGGUUAAAGAAGUUGGUGACCUGAUGAUAAGUGAAUCAUCUACUAAAACCCCAAUGAACGUCAGUCGUAAAUAUAAUAGUUCGAAAGUAGUGAAAUUUUUCAUCGGAUAAAUUCUGAUUCACACAAAAAACAUAAGG
rnacentral:ncRNA from 1 species